rnacentral:lncRNA from 1 species
UUCUCGAACCACAAAGCAAAAACAAUGCAGACAUCUUACCCUUUCAACUCUCUCUCGAUUUCUUUUCUUUGCACAGACAACACACCAUCUUUUUUUUUUGUCUGCUCUCUCCCCCACUCGAUCUCUAUAAGGUAAUCACCACCAAAUCCAUUCAACACUCAUAUUCCCCACACACCACAGCCUCUCUAUCCCUCCCUCUGACUACAUGCCGGCGGCCGGAAUAACCGGCGGAGCCAUGCUCCGGUCAUCUUGUUCUCCGGGGUUCAGUUCACCGACAAACACCCACCUUCUCCCUUCUGACUGACGGACGGCUGACCACCGCCACCACAGCCGUCUGGUGGCGGCGUGGUGACAAGACAGAGAGUGGCGUAAGAGGGAGAGAGCGGCGGAGAUUAGGAGCAGCGCCGCCGUCCACGGCAGCGGCGGUCGGCGUCUUGGUCCGGCGGUCUGCGUCAAGGUCCGGCGGUCUUUGUCAUUAUCCGACGGGUUUUUGUUCGGAAGUCCCGGUCCGGGUCAGAUCGAUUACAGGUGACCGACUCAGCUCCGGAGACGGCUGUGGAGAGUGAUGGUGAUUAUGUUCAGGAUUUAGUUACGUUCGGUUCGGGAGUUCCGGGUCAGAUUUAACGGCUCUCGGUUCGGUCAACGAUGGUCAACGGGUCAGUUGGGUUCGGGUCAGCUGGUCAACGUUCAAGGAGGGUCAAGUCGACAGGAUUUCGGGUUCGGUUGGCUCAGAUUUGGUGUUCGAGUCAACCGAGUCAACCCGGUCAAACCUGGUAAACUCAGCGAGUCAACUCGGUCAACCCGGUUGACUCGGUCAACCCGGUCAACUCAGUCAACGAAAGCGGCACGAAAGACUUGAUAAUAGCGAAUGUGAGUUUCAGAAACACGGUCACUAGAGAAUGCUACUGCGCAGGCAGGAAAGCGGUUACUGUCAGAUGGAAGUUUAUGAAGCAAGAGAGACGUUUGUUCUCUUGUAUUGUUUAAUGUACUUUGAUUGAUGCAGAUAUUGUGCUGGACAACUGUGCGAUUUGUAGAAAUCAUAUUAUGGAUCUAUGUAUCGAGUGUCAAGCUAAUCAGGCUAGCUCUACUAGCGAAGAGUGUACUGUUGCUUGGGGUAUGCCGGUAUCUUUUUGUUCACUGUGAUAAUGAUCCUGCACCAUGGACAAGCUUGCGUAAGUCCAGCUGAUACCAACGCAGAAGAAACACUAAACACCUUGAAGUAUGCCAAUCGAGCUCGUAACAUACCAAACAAAGCUAUUGUUAAUCGUGAUCCAGUCACAGCUCAAAUGCAAAGAAAGACAAGUUACUGCUUAAAAUUGAAUCUGCACGUGGUGGCAAACCAUGGGAUGAGAUAGACUGUGACUCGAAUAAGGUUCUUGGCUAUUAUCAAUCGAAAAACCGGCCUCGAGAAUCACGUUCUAGAGUGUUGAAGCUCGAUUUAGAAUCCGUUAGAAUCCAUUUGUGUGGCCACGUGACCUUUGUUAAGUGCGGUAUUGGCGCCGAAAUGAUGAUGGGAGUUAUGUUGGACUCUUUUGCUCUAGGGAGCAUGAGAACUGUGGCCCACAACCAGGAUACGUGCGCGCUCAUAUUGAGACUGUAAAGCAAGCUAAACACAGCAUGCUUGGAAGUCUAUAAAUACAACAUCAAUCUCAACACUCUACAAACACUCAACUGAGACGAAUUAAACCUUCAAAUUAAUAUCAAUACUCUUUGCAUCUGGAUCUUGCGUUGUUUCUCGGCUCUUCACAUCAAGGUUUUACAUUUUUUGUCGGCUUUUUACAUCUGGCUCUUGCAUUGUUAUUUGCUUUCUGCAUUCCUCUAGAUUUUGGAUCUGUCUUUUAUGGCUACUUUGAAAUCAAAGUCGAUGCUUUCUGCCACUUGUUUUGGAAUUUGGAACGGCCAUUGAAUCUCCUUUGAUUUCCAGAUGUCAAUCGGAUUGCUUUUUUUUUUUUGUUGUUGAAACCGAUUUGGGAAUUGAGUUGCAUGACAGAUCUUUGUUCUUGUUGUCGUUUUGGCUAUUGACUUUUUGAUUUCCGAAUAGUUUAGCUAUUAUGAAUUAAUUUGUUUACGAGCUUUA